rnacentral:rRNA from 1 species
GGGUCCCGGCACGGAGGCGGCACCCUUAUCCUUUGUUGCCAGCACGUAAUGGUGGGAACUCAAAGGAGACUGCCGGUGAUAAACCGGAGGAAGGUGGGGAUGACGUCAAGUCAUCAUGGCCCUUACGAGUAGGGCUACACACGUGCUACAAUGGSAGAUACAAAGAGAAGCGACCUCGCGAGAGCAAGCGGAACUCAUAAAGUCUGUCGUAGUCCGGAUUGGAGUCUGCAACUCGACUCCAUGAAGUCGGAAUCGCUAGUAAUCGUAGAUCARAAUGCUACGGUGAAUACGUUCCCGGGCCUUGUACACACCGCCCGU